AACAUUCAUGAAAGUACACGACAAAACUGGCUUGGUUUUAUAGGUGAUUACAGUGACGAUGUAUCAUAUCAAUUUUGUAGGUGAUUGUAGGGACAAUGUACUAAUUUGCAUAAUUCGCAUUUGUAUGUGAUUGUAGGGUGAAUUUCAUGGGCGUAUUCAGUUUUACAGGUGGGGCUACCCUCUUGAUUACGAGCACUCAUGGUAGGGUGAAUAUCUGUAGAGGGUCUUCUGAUGUCAACUGACUCGCAUGGAAUACAGGUGAACUAACAUGUGGGCAUUCAAAAAGAUGGUGGUUGUGACUGUAGAGCCUCAGGAACAUGUAAUUGCCGAUCCGCAUGAAGAUACUGUACAAACAACUAUCAAUGGCUGUCAGAGAGAGGUGGACAUGUUUUCUACAGUAAACAGUUUAUAUGCCCAACUUGAGUUCCCAUAUCAUCUUUGUCAUCAAUUAAGUUAAAGAGGUAGCACACUACUUGAUUUUCUAUGACAUAAGAGGUGUAAAGACCAUGAAGAAGGGCGAAGUUUCAUUGCUAAGCAUUCAUACAAAAUAUGGAUUCGGUCUUUGACUAAAUCAAUUCAAGACUCUGCUACUGUUUCUGCAAAUUGUACCAUGUAUUAUGAUGUCGAGUUGGUCUUAUUUAAAGUGAUUAUGCUUGUAGGUAGAUUUUGUACACAGGUCGAAACAAUUUUUUUGGCAAGUUUUAAGAGUUGUAAUGAAUUAUGUCUGCAUGGUUGAGAUGUUGGCUCGGAAAAUGAUGUUUGGUCUCUAAUAGUUUAUAUAAUUUUAUGCGUAUGUUAUCUUAAAUCAAGGAUUCGAAGC